CCUACGGGAGGCUGCAGUGAGGAAUAUUGGUCAAUGGGCGGAAGCCUGAACCAGCCAAGUAGCGUGCGGGAUGAAGGCCCUACGGGUCGUAAACCGCUUUUGCACGGGGAGAAGACACGCCACGUGUGGAGGUCUGCAGGUACCGUGCGAAUAAGGGCCGGCUAAGUCCGUGCCAGCAGCCGCGGUAAUACGGAAGGCCCGAGCGUUAUCCGGAUUCAUUGGGCUUAAAGGGAGCGUAGGCGGGCGUUCAAGUCAGCUGUAAAAUCGCGCGGCUCACCCGCGCCCCGCAGUUGAAACUGGACGCCUUGAGUUCACCACAGGCAGGCGGACUUCGUUGUGUAGCGGUG
rnacentral:rRNA from 1 species